rnacentral:rRNA from 1 species
UACGAAGGGGGCUAGCGUUGCUCGGAAUCACUGGGCGUAAAGGGCGCGUAGGCGGCCAUUCAAGUCAGGGGUGAAAGCCUGUGGCUCAACCACAGAAUUGCCUUUGAUACUGUUUGGCUAGAGACCGGAAGAGGUAAGUGGAACUGCGAGUGUAGAGGUGAAAUUCGUAGAUAUUGCGAAGAACACCAGUGGCGAAGGCGGCUCACUGGCCCGGUACUGACGCUGAGGUGCGAAAGCGUGGGGAGCAAACAGG